GACGAACGCUGGCGGCGUGCUUAACACAUGCAAGUCGAACGGAAGGGCCCUGCUUUUGUGGGGUGCUCGAGUGGCGAACGGGUGAGUAACACGUGAGUAACCUGCCCUUGACUUUGGGAUAACUUCAGGAAACUGGGGCUAAUACCGGAUAGGAGCUCCUGCUGCAUGGUGGGGGUUGGAAAGUUUCGGCGGUUGGGGAUGGACUCGCGGCUUAUCAGCUUGUUGGUGGGGUAGUGGCUUACCAAGGCUUUGACGGGUAGCCGGCCUGAGAGGGUGACCGGCCACAUUGGGACUGAGAUACGGCCCAGCCUCCUACGGGAGGCAGCAGUGGGGAAUAUUGCACAAUGGGCGGAAGCCUGAUGCAGCAACGCCGCGUGCGGGAUGACGGCCUUCGGGUUGUAAACCGCUUUCGCCUGUGACGAAGCGUGAGUGACGGUAAUGGGUAAAGAAGCACCGGCUAACUACGUG
rnacentral:rRNA from 1 species